GACGAACGCUGGCGGCGUGCUUAACACAUGCAAGUCGAGCGGCGCGGCGAACGGGUGAGUAACGCGUGAGUAACUGCCCCCCCCUCUGGGAUAACAGUUGGAAACGGCUGCUAAUCCCGGAUAGUGGGGGCUGACUCGCGUCCUAUCAGCUUGUUGGUGGAGUAGUGGCCUACCACGGCGACGACGGGUAGCCGGCCUGCGAGGGGGACCGGCCACAUUGGGCUGAGAUACGGCCCAGACUCCUACGGGGGGCAGCAGGCGGGAAUAUUGCGCAGUGGGGGAAACCCUGAUGCAGCAACGCCGCGUGCGGGAUGACGGCCUUCGGGGUGUAAACCGCUUUCAGCCAUGACGCGGUAGUGGCAGAAGAAGCACCGGCUAACUACGUGCCAGCAGCCGCGGUAAUUC
rnacentral:rRNA from 1 species